rnacentral:rRNA from 1 species
AUUGAACGCUGGCGGCAGGCCUAACACAUGCAAGUCGAGCGGAUGAAGGGAGCUUGCUCCUGGAUUCAGCGGCGGACGGGUGAGUAAUGCCUAGGAAUCUGCCUGGUAGUGGGGGAUAACGUCCGGAAACGGGCGCUAAUACCGCAUACGUCCUGAGGGAGAAAGUGGGGGAUCUUCGGACCUCACGCUAUCAGAUGAGCCUAGGUCGGAUUAGCUAGUUGGUGGGGUAAAGGCCUACCAAGGCGACGAUCCGUAACUGGUCUGAGAGGAUGAUCAGUCACACUGGAACUGAGACACGGUCCAGCCUCCGACGGGAGGCAGCAGGGGGGAAUUUUGCGAAAGGGGCGAAAGCCUGACCCAGCAACGCCGCGUGAGGGAGGAAGGUCUUCGGAUCGUAAAACUCUUUAAUUAGGGAAGAAGGAAAGUGUAUGAAACUCUGCUUGUUUUGACGUUCCCAAAAAAGAAAGCCCCGGCUAACUUCGUG